GACGAACGCUGGUGGCGUGCUUAACACAUGCAAGUCGAACGGUGAAGCGCCUUCCUUUUUGGUGGGUGUGGAUGAGUGGCGAACGGGUGAGUAACACGUGAGUAACCUGCCCCCUUCUUCUGGAUAACCGCAUGAAAGUGUGGCUAAUACGGGAUAUUCUGGGUCUGUCGCAUGAUGGGUCUGGGAAAGAUAUUGUUUCGGUGGGGGAUGGGCUCGCGGCCUAUCAGCUUGUUGGUGGGGUGAUGGCCUACCAAGGCGGUGACGGGUAGCCGGCCUGAGAGGGUGGACGGUCACACUGGGACUGAGACACGGCCCAGACUCCUACGGGAGGCAGCAGUGGGGAAUAUUGCACAAUGGGCGCAAGCCUGAUGCAGCGACGCCGCGUGAGGGAUGGAGGCCUUCGGGUUGUGAACCUCUUUCGCCAGUGAAGCAGGCCUGCCUCGUUUGUGGGUGGGUUGACGGUAGCUGGAUAAGAAGCGCCGGCUAACUACG
rnacentral:rRNA from 1 species